rnacentral:lncRNA from 1 species
CUCGUUUGAUACUACCUGCCAAAAUUUGGGUCAAAACAAGGUAUUUUACUAUUUUUAAUGAUUUUUUUACUAAAACAAGGUAUUAUGCAGAAUUCUGGAUCACAGGGCAGGCAGUAUGGAGUAUGUUGGUCUAUGAUAUGGGGGUUUGCUAGGAUAGUGUUGUCCUAAAGGUUUAGGAAAACUACAUAAUUUGUCAGUUUUAAAAUGGGGUGUCUACAACAUGGUUGUUGUUGAUCAUUUUAUCAUUGUGCUUCGUCUAUAAAUUGCUUCUUUAGACUUGGACACUCUUGAUUAAUGUUAUUGAAACCCAUAUCAAUUGCUAUAAUUUUAGUGGUUUCUACUUAAUUUCUUUGACAAUCACAUAUAUCUUUUUUUAUUUUUUUUAUUUUUAUACAUCUUUGAGGUCUACUUUUAUUCCUAUCUGUGAUAUGUAAUUAAAUUUCUGAAUUUGAUAAUCAAUUUGUUGUGCUGAAUUGACAGUACAUAGCGUUGAUCUGUGUCUAAUUUGAUCAUAUUC